AGCAGCCGCGGUAAUUCCAGCUCCAAUAGCGUAUAUUAAAGUUGUUGCAGUUAAAAAGCUCGUAGUUGAACUUCAGGCCUGUCCAGAUGGUCCGCCUUAAUUGGUGUGUACUGUCCUUGGGUGGGUCCUACCUUCUGGCGAAGCGGCAUGGCCUUAAUUGGUUGUGUUGGGGAACCAGGACUUUUACUGUGAAAAAAUUAGAGUGUUCAAAGCAGGCAAUAAUGCUCGAAUACAUUAGCAUGGAAUAAUGGAAUAGGACGAUGGUUCUAUUUUGUUGGUUCUAGGACCGUUGUAAUGAUUAAUAGGGAUAGUUGGGGGCAUUAGUAUUCAAUUGUCAGAGGUGAAAUUCUUGGAUUUAUUGAAGACUAACUACUGCGAAAGCAUUUGCCAAGGAUGUUUUCAUUAAUCAAGAACGAAAGUUAGGGGAUCGAAGACGAUCAGAUACCGUCGUAGUCUUAACCAUAAACUAUGCCGACUAGGAAUCGGGCGAUGUUGACAAAAUGACUCGCUCGGCACCUCAUG
rnacentral:rRNA from 1 species